AGCAUGAUCAAAGCUUGCUUGAUGAUGGCGACCGGCGCACGGUGAGUAACGCGUAUCCAACCUUCCCCUUAGUAGGGCAUAGCCCGUAGAAAUGCGGAUUAAUACCCUAUGUUAUCGUCGAGGACAUCUGAAAUGAAUAAAGGUUUACCGCUAAGGGAUGGGGAUGCGUCCGAUUAGGCAGCAGGCGGGGUAACGGCCCACCUGGCCAACGAUCGGUAGGGGUUCUGAGAGGAAGGUCCCCCCACAUUGGAACUGAGACACGGUCCAAACUCCUACGGGAGGCAGCAGUGAGGAAUAUUGGUCAAUGGGCGAGAGCCUGAACCAGCCAAGUAGCGUGCAGGAUGACGGCCCUAUGGGUUGUAAACUGCUUUUAUGCGGGGAUAAAGUCACCCACGUGUGGGUGUUUGUAGGUACCGCAUGAAUAGGGACCGGCUAAUUCCGUGCCAGCAGCCGC
rnacentral:rRNA from 1 species